ACUGAGAGUCACAGCCUCAGAGGCAUUGUAAACAAGCGUUAUAUUUCUCUAUAAACGAUGGUGUCUGUACUGCCUUACCACUUCGAGCUCGAUCCAGAGAGUUCAGAAGGCCGUUACGAUAUAAACGAUCUCCGUCAAUGAAUGCGAUUGGAUUUAACUUUUUUAGGUGUCCUUAGCUCUGCCAGAAUGCUAAACGAAGACGAAAAUGUGUUGCAAAGACAUCCAAAAGGUUUUAAGGAGAAUGCAACAGGUUCCAGGGACUCUUACCUGCGUGAUUCAUCAUCCAGGUUUUGCACAAAUUGUCUAAAUCCCUACACACAGAACAUUUAUUGUACCGACUAUAAGCCUUUGAGGCGCAGGACUAGAAUAUGCUUGGAGCUUCCUGAUCAGAAUGUUGGCUUCCGACGACCCCUGCACUGAAGAUGGCAUGCAAUCACGUCCUCCUUUGAAGGUCUCUCAAACUGUGAUGCCAGGUCCAUUGGAAUCUGGGUUUCCUUCAGCUUAUCUUCAAAUACCUCAUCAAACACAAGCCUGAUCACAUCAUCCACAUUACUGUACAAAUAUUGCAGUCAAUAAAUCUUUUGUUUUGAUAAUUUAUUUCCCUGCUUCAUACAUUAAGUUUUUAAUUAUGAAUGUAUUUGAAAUAAAACAUUACUGCUUACGGUAUGUCAUUUGUGUGUUUUGGGAACAUAGCCUUGUACUUUCCCUCUCCUGCUUUUGUUACGGCUUGGUGACAUUGUAAUGGAUGGCUGCAAGGUACAACCUGUAAAAAUAUAAGCAAGCAUAAAUUUAUUGUAAAAGUAAAUACUACUUUAUUUAACACAGUUACUAAAAUACUUAAAUACCUGCA